ensembl:lncRNA
UGGAAAUUCCCAUUUUUGUCUCUUUCCAGGCAAAAUAAUGGAAGAACCUGGUAAGAAAUUACUGGAUUUUUCCAAUUUUAACCCUUUAAAAAACACAUUUUUGACCAUUUUCCAAGUUUCUUCAUGGCCAGAAACUAAUCUUAGGGACCAUAAUAACAACAACAACUAGCAUCAUAUCCCACAACCCAUCUGAUAAUUUUAAAUGAUUUUAAAUGAUUUUAAAUGAUUUUAAAUUAUUCUAAAUUAUUAUUUUAAAUUAUUAUUUUAAAUUAUUUAAAAAUAUUAUUUAAAAUUAUUUUGAAUUAUUUUAACUUUGGUUUUUUUUCUUCCCUGUUUCCAGGGGAAGUUGACAAAAGCCUCGGUGGGUUCAGUUCCCAUUUCUGGGGUGGAGCUGAAGGAAAAAUAUCCCCAAAUAACCCCAUUUCUCUUGGGUUUCCCCAAAAUAACCCCAUUUCUCUUUGGUUCCCCAGAGGAGCUCAGGGCAGCGCUGGGCGCUCGGGACGCCAGGAUCGGUGCGUUUUCCCCCCUCCCCCUCCCUGAAAUUCCACCAAUUCGGGAAUUUCGGUUCAUUCUGCCCACGAGCCCCACGAAACUCAGGAGUUUUGGGUUUUUCCCCUCGCAGCGGAGCUGUCGGAGGCGCUGGAGAUUUAAGUAA